rfam:Desulfobulbaceae bacterium BRH_c16a BRHa_1001515, whole genome shotgun sequence.
CGCGGGGUGGAGCAGUCUGGUAGCUCGUCGGGCUCAUAACCCGAAGGUCACAGGUUCAAAUCCUGUCCCCGCUA